rnacentral:lncRNA from 1 species
CUCCAUCAUCACCUCCACCAUCACCUCCAACCCCUCCACCAUCACCUCCACCAUCACCUCCAACCCCUCCACCAUCACAUCCACCAUCACCUCCAUCACCUCCAACACCUCCUCCACCAUCACAUCCAACACCUCCUCCAACAUCACCUCCAACACCUCCUCCACCAUCACCUCCACCAUCACCUCCAACACCUCCUCCAACAUCACCUCCACCAUCACCUCCACCAUCACCUCCAACACCUCCUCCACCAUCACCUCCAUCACCUCCAACACCUCCUCCACACAUCACCUCCAACACCUCCUCCAACAUCACCUCCAACACCUCCUCCACCAUCACAUCCACCAUCACCUCCAUCACAUCCAACACCUCCUCCACCAUCACAUCCAACACCUCCUCCACCAUCACCUCCACCAUCAACUCCAACACCUCCUCCACCAUCACCUCCACCAUCACCUCCAUCACCUCCAACACCUCCUCCACCAUCACAUCCAACACCUCCUCCAACACCUCCACCAUCACCUCCAACAUCUCCUCCACCAUCACCUCCACCAUCACCCCCAACACCCCCUCCAACACCUCCUCCACCAUCACCUCCAUCACCUCCAACACCUCCACCAUCACCUCCAACACCUCCUCCACCAUCACCUCCACCAUUACCUCCUCAACCAUCACCUCCUCCACCAUCAUCUCCACCAUCACCUCCACCAUCACCCCCAACACCCCCUCCAACACCUCCUCCACCAUCACAUACAACACCUCCUCCAACACCUCCAACACCUCCUCCACCAUCACCUCCACCAUUACCCUCCUCAACCAUCACCUCCACCAUCAUCUCCACCAUCUCCUCCACCAUCACCUCCACCAUCACCUCCAACACCCCCUCCACCAUCACCUCCACCAUCACCUCCUCCACCAUCACCUCCAACACCUUCUCCACCAUCACCUCCACCAUCACCCCAACACCUCCUCCAACAUCACCUCCAUCACCUCCAACACCUUCUCCACCCUCACAUCCAACACCUCCUCCAACACCUCCGCCAAUACCUCCUCCACCAUCACCUCCAACACCUCCUCCAACACCUCCUCCAACAGCUCCUCCACCAUCUACUCCAGCAUCACCUCCACCAUCAUCUCCAACACCUCCUCCAACAGCACCUCCACCAUCUACUCUACCAUCACCUCCACCAUCACCUCCAACAUCACUUCCAAAAAGAUGAG